GGGCCGCCCGCCGCCGCGCCGGCUGCCGCCAAAAGUCCUCUCCCUCCCUGUCCGCCCCCUCUCCUCUCCCCCUCGCCGCCGCCGUGCUUCGGAGCGGGUGCCGCCACCGGCAUAGGCGGUUUCGACCUUUCAAUAGAGAGCUGAUUUUGGAGAACGGCUGUGAUUGAAAAAGUCUCUCUGGAAGGUUGAUGGAGUAUGAGCAUGGUCUGAUCAGCAACUCCAGUGCAGUUUGAAAAUAUGUAAUCUGCUGGCAAUGAUGUGCCCAACCUUAAUUGGUGCUGGAGCCUUUGGAAGAGAGAUUGUGUCAUCAGACAGUAUAUAGUCCAACAAUGACUGACCUUGAUGAAUCUGUGAAAGAAGAAAAUAGUUUUCUCACGUCUUAAUUUGCAAAAUGCACAAAAGAAAAAAAAAUGGAACGUGUGGAAUUUAACCCACUGAAGUUGUUAAGAUUCUCUGAGUUUAA